rnacentral:rRNA from 1 species
CCUACGGGAGGCAGCAGUGGGGAAUCUUGCGCAAUGGGCGAAAGCCUGACGCAGCAACGCCGCGUGCGGGAAGAAGGCUUUCGGGCUGUAAACCGCUUUCAGCAGGAACGAAAAUGACGGUACCUGCAGAAGAAGGAGCGGCCAACUAUGUGCCAGCAGCCGCGGUGAUACAUAGGCUUCAAGCGUUGUCCGGAUUUAUUGGGCGUAAAGAGUUCGUAGGCGGUCGAGUAAGUCGGGUGUGAAAAUUCUGGGCUCAACCCAGAGACGCCACCCGAUACUGCUUGACUUGAGUUCGAUAGGGGAGUGGGGAAUUCCUAGUGUAGCGGUGAAAUGCGCAGAUAUUAGGAGGAACACCGGUGGCGAAGGCGCCACUCUGGAUCGAUACUGACGCUGAGGAACGAAAGCAUGGGUAGCAAACAGGAUUAGAUACCCUGGUAGUCCAUGCCGUAAACGGUGGGCACUAGGUGUGGGUUUCUAUUAACGAAAUCCGCGCCGUCGCUAACGCAUUAAGUGCCCCGCCUGGGGAGUACGGUCGCAAGACUAAAACUCAAAAGGAAUUGACGG